rnacentral:lncRNA from 1 species
AGCGGCGGGGAGAGAGCGAGCGGGGCUGAGGGAAGAGGCGGGGCGCCAUCCCGGUCCCACGCUACUCUUGUGUGGGGAUGGAGCCGGGGGCUGCCAGGAGAUCAGCCACUGGAGGGCGACAUGAUCCCAGUCACACAGGCGAAGUUCUAAGCCUGGUAAAUCGGGCAGCACGCAGCCAGCAAGCACCGCCAGUCAGCAGAGGAAUUUCUGCAUAAAGAGAUAAAGUCACAUGAUUGAGC